rnacentral:rRNA from 1 species
AACGAACGCUGGCGGCAUGCCUAACACAUGCAAGUCGAACGAAGGCUUCGGCCUUAGUGGCGCACGGGUGCGUAACGCGUGGGAAUCUGCCCUUUGCUUCGGAAUAACAGUUAGAAAUGACUGCUAAUACCGGAUGAUGUCGCAAGACCAAAGAUUUAUCGGCCAAGGAUGAGCCCGCGUAGGAUUAGCUAGUUGGUAGGGUAAAGGCCUACCAAGGCGCCGAUCCUUAGCUGGUCUGAGAGGAUGAUCAGCCACACUGGGACUGAGACACGGCCCAGACUCCUACGGGAUGCAGCAGUGCGGAAUAUUGGACAAUGGGCGGAAGCCUGAUCCAGCAAUGCCGCGUGAGUGAUGAAGGCCUUAGAGUUGUAAAGCUCUUGUACCCGGGAUGAUAAUGACAGUACCGGGAGAAUAAGCCCCGGCUAACUCCGUG